GACGGAGGAUGCAAGCGUUAUCCGGAAUGAUUGGGCGUAAAGCGUCCGCAGGUGGCAGUUCAAGUCUGCUGUCAAAGACCGGGGCUUAACUUCGGAAAGGCAGUGGAAACUGAACAGCUAGAGUAUGGUAGGGGCAGAGGGAAUUCCUGGUGUAGCGGUGAAAUGCGCAGAUAUCAGGAAGAACACCAAUGGCGGAAGGCAGCUCUCUGGGACGGUACUGACGCUGAGACGCGAAAGCGUGGGUAGCGAACAGG
rnacentral:rRNA from 1 species